AACGUACGCUGGCGGCACGCCUAACACAUGCAAGUCGAACGAAGUAGCAAUACUUAGUGGCAGACGGGUGAGUAACAUGUAGGUAUCUGCCCUUUGGCCUGGAAUAACACGAGGAAACUUGUGCUAAUACCGGAUAAGUCUUUACGGAGAAAGCUUUAUGCACCAUUGGAUGAGCCUGCACUUGAUUAGUUUGUUGGUGGGGUAAUGGCCUACCAAGACUGUGAUCAAUAGCUGAUUUGAGAGGAUGAUCAGCCACAUUGGGACUGAGACACGGCCCANACUCCUACGGGAGGCAGCAGUGGGGAAUCUUGCACAAUGGAGGAAACUCUGAUGCAGCGAUGCCGCGUGAGUGAAGAAGGCCCUUGGGUUGUAAGCUCUUUCGUCGGGGAAGAAAUGACUGUACCCGAAUAAAGAAGGUCCCGGCUAACUUCGUGCCAGCAGCCGCGGUAAUACGAAGGGACCUAGCGUAGUUCGGAUUACUGGGCUUAAAGAGUUCGUAGGUGGUUGAAAAAGUUAGUGGUGAAAUCCCAGAGCUUAACUCUGGAACUGCCAUUAAAACUUUUCAGCUAGAGUAUGAUAGAGGAAAGCAGAAUUUCUAGUGUAGAGGUGAAAUUCGUAGAUAUUAGAAAGAAUACCAAUUGCGAAGGCAGCUUUCUGGAUCAUUACUGACACUGAGGAACGAAAGCAUGGGUAGCGAAGAGGAUUAGAUACCCUCGUAGUCCAUGCCGUAAACGAUGUGUGUUAGACGUUGGAAAUUUAUUUUCAGUGUCGCAGGGAAACCGAUAAACACACCGCCUGGGGAGUACGACCGCAAGGUUAAAACUCAAAUGAAUUGACGGGGACCCGCACAAGUAGUGGAGCAUGUGGUUUAAUUCGAAGAUACGCGCAGAACCUUACCAACACUUGACAUGUUCGUCGCGACUCUAAGAGAUUAGAGUUUUCGGUUCGGCCGGACGAAACACAGGUGCUGCAUGGCUGUCGUCAGCUCGUGUCGUGAGAUGUUGGGUUAAGUCCCGCAACGAGCGCAACCCUCACUUUUAGUUGCCAUCAUUAAGUUGGGCACUCUGAAAGAACUGCCAGUGAUAAGCUGGAGGAAGGUGGGGAUGACGUCAAGUCCUCAUGGCCCUUACGUGUUGGGCUACACACGUGCUACAAUGGUAUCUACAACAGGAAGCAAGACUGCGAAGUUAAGCAAAUCCCUAAAAGAUACCUCAGUUCGGAUUGCACUCUGCAACUCGAGUGCAUGAAGCUGGAAUUACUAGUAAUCGUGGAUCAGCGUGCCACGGUGAAUGCGUUCCCGGGUCU
rnacentral:rRNA from 1 species